CCCCUCCUCGCCGGCGGCUCCUCCCUCGCGGCAGCGCCCAGUACGGCGAGUCAUCGUCGGCAAGCAUCCCAACGGCGUCCGCGUAUUUCCCGGGAGCAGCACAAGAACACCCCACAGGUUUGACAGGGAGCAGCACAUGGAUGUUGAUUUUGUUACCUAUCUUCUUAUUGAAGCCAGCAUGGCUAGUGAGGAUGCUGGACAACAAAAUGGAAGGAAUGUGGAUCUCAAAACUGAAGAAAAGCAGGCCACCUUGGUGGCUCUGUCAUCAGGAAAAUCGGAUUUUUUGACAGCAACUCGUCCGCCUCAGUCUCGCCUUUCGUCGUCUGAAAAUUCAUAGAAGUACCGGAACCGGUUGUGGAGAUGGGAAAAGAAAAUCCCUAAUUGCAUUCUGAAACAAUGACAUUUUUUGUGUGGACAGGCUGGGCGUUUCGGCGCAAGCUAUUCUAUGAAUUCUGAACACUAUGCAAGGAAAUCAACAGCUGCCAUUGUUCAGAGAAUGAGGAGGAGAAAUUGAUUCUCACACUACAAAAACAACAGAACAGCAGGGAUGUUAUUCAGGUUGACAUAUCUCCAUAGACAAUCUAACCUCAGGGAUGAGUAAGAGAUGAAAAACAUCAAUUGAAAGCACCACAAAGGCAGUCUUUCACACUAAAACAACAACGCAGGCCAUACUUUUGUCCACUGUUCUUCGUGCUAGUAUCAGGAACAGUACCAUGCACAAGUAAAAAUGAGCAUCCCU